CAGUAGCCACGGUAAUACAGAGGGUGCAAGCGUUAAUCGGAAUUACUGGGCGUAAAGCGCGCGUAGGUGGUUUGUUAAGUUGGAUGUGAAAGCCCCGGGCUCAACCUGGGAACUGCAUCCAAAACUGGCAAGCUAGAGUACGGUAGAGGGUGGUGGAAUUUCCUGUGUAGCGGUGAAAUGCGUAGAUAUAGGAAGGAACACCAGUGGCGAAGGCGACCACCUGGACUGAUACUGACACUGAGGUGCGAAAGCGUGGGGAGCAAACAGGAUUAGAUACCCCUGUAGUCCCUGUCUCUUAUAC
rnacentral:rRNA from 1 species